rnacentral:rRNA from 1 species
UACAGAGGGGGCAAGCGUUAUUCGGAAUUAUUGGGCGUAAAGGGCGCGUAGGCGGCCUGGCAAGUGGAAGGUGAAAUCCCUCGGCUUAACCGAGGAACUGCCCUCCAAACUGCUUGGCUUGAGUCCGGGAGAGGUGAGUGGAAUUCCCAGUGUAGCGGUGAAAUGCGUAGAUAUUGGGAAGAACACCAGUGGCGUAAGCGACUCGCUGGGCUGUAACUGACGCUGAGGAACGAAAGCCAGGGUAGCGAAUGGG